UUGAACUUGAUAAAUAAAGUCGACCUUCUUGUCUAGAAGUUAGAUCAAUUUCUAACCCUAGGUCAAUAAUCUCCUGCAUAAUACACAUCACCUUCCAAUUAUCAAGAGAUUUAUUCUAUCUGUGCUAGUCCAAUCUAUCAUAUAAGUGAAUGUCCUACAGCUGCAUAGUUUUCAUUUUUCAUCUAAGAAUAAGUUCAAGCUACCCA
rnacentral:lncRNA from 1 species